rnacentral:rRNA from 1 species
CCUACGGGAGGCAGCAGUCGAGAAUCAUUCACAAUGGGGGAAACCCUGAUGGUGCGACGCCGCGUGGGGGAAUGAAGGUCUUCGGAUUGUAAACCCCUGUCAUGUGGGAGCAAAUUAAAAAGAUAGUACCACAAGAGGAAGAGACGGCUAACUCUGUGCCAGCAGCCGCGGUAAGACAGAGGUCUCAAGCGUUGUUCGGAAUCACUGGGCGUAAAGCGUGCGUAGGCUGUUUCGUAAGUCGUGUGUGAAAGGCGCGGGCUCAACCCGCGGACGGCACAUGAUACUGCGAGACUAGAGUAAUGGAGGGGGAACCGGAAUUCUCGGUGUAGCAGUGAAAUGCGUAGAUAUCGAGAGGAACACUCGUGGCGAAGGCGGGUUCCUGGACAUUAACUGACGCUGAGGCACGAAGGCCAGGGGAGCGAAAGGGAUUAGAUACCCUUGUAGUC